UGGCAAUGAUGAUUAAAAAGGCCGUACUUACGGCUGUCAUUGGUAGUAGAUUGAUGAACUUUAUCGUGAAAGUGUGUUCUGAGCUAG